rnacentral:rRNA from 1 species
UACGUAGGGUGCAAGCGUUAAUCGGAAUACUGGGCGUAAAGCGUGCGCAGGCGGUUAUGUAAGACAGUUGUGAAAUCCCCGGGCUCAACCUGGGAAUUGCAUCUGUGACUGCAUAGCUAGAGUACGGUAGAGGGGGGGAUGGAAUUCCGCGUGUAGCAGUGAAAUGUGUAGAUAUGCGGAGGAACACCGAUGGCGAAGGCAAUCCCCUGGACCUGUACUGACGCUCAUGCACGAAAGCGUGGGGAGCAAACAGG